UACGUAGGGUGCAAGCGUUAAUCGGAAUUACUGGGCGUAAAGCGUGCGCAGGCGGUUGUGCAAGACCGAUGUGAAAUCCCCGGGCUUAACCUGGGGAUGGCAUUGGUGACUGUACGGCUAGAGUGUGUCAGAGGGGGGUAGAAUUCCACGUGUAGCAGUGAAAUGCGUAGAGAUGUGGAGGAAUACCGAUGGCGAAGGCAGCCCCCUGGGAUGACACUGACGCUCAUGCACGAAAGCGUGGGGAGCAAACAGG
rnacentral:rRNA from 1 species